rnacentral:misc_RNA from 1 species
CAGGGAGCAUCAGUGUAAUGCUGAGAUAAAUGCUUAAUAAGCUCGCCUUGGUGCUGGAGUAGAAGAAAUUUUGAUCCAAGCAGAGCAGCGCAUGGGUUCAAGGCAUAGCAUUACUACUUUCUCAUGCUUUUGAAUCUUUCUUGCAGCUUAUAUUACUCUCGCUUGCUAUGAGCCAAUGGAUCCAGCACUCCGGUAGGUAUCUUGAAUACCUUAAAAGUGUGACGUUGAUUAUUUUGGACUCGGG